GAUGAACGCUGGCGGCGUGCCUAAUACAUGCAAGUCGAGCGAACGGACGAGAAGCUUGCUUCUCUGAUGUUAGCGGCGGACGGGUGAGUAACACGUGGAUAACCUACCUAUAAGACUGGGAUAACUUCGGGAAACCGUAGCUAAUACCGGAUAAUAUUUUGAACCGCAUGGUUCAAAAGUGAAAGACGGUCUUGCUGUCACUUAUAGAUGGAUCCGCGCUGCAUUAGCUAGUUGGUAAGGCAACGGCUUACCAAGGCAACGAUGCAUAGCCGACCUGAGAGGGUGAUCGGCCACACUGGAACUGAGACACGGUCCAGACUCCUACGGGAGGCAGCAGUAGGGAAUCUUCCGCAAUGGGCGAAAGCCUGACGGAGCAACGCCGCGUGAGUGAUGAAGGUCUUCGGAUCGUAAAACUCUGUUAUUAGGGAAGAACAUAUGUGUAAGUAACUGUGCACAUCUUGACGGUACCUAAUCAGAAAGCCACGGCUAACUACGUG
rnacentral:rRNA from 1 species